rnacentral:rRNA from 1 species
UACGGAGGAUGCAAGCGUUAUCCGGAAUGAUUGGGCGUAAAGCGUCCGCAGGUGGCAAUGUAAGUCUGCUGUCAAAGCGUCUGGCUCAACCAGAUAAAGGCAGUGGAAACUACAUAGCUAGAGUAAGGUAGGGGUAGAGGGAAUUCCUGGUGUAGCGGUGAAAUGCGUAGAGAUCAGGAAGAACACCGGUGGCGAAAGCGCUCUGCUGGGCCGACACUGACACUGAGAGACGAAAGCUAGGGGAGCGAAUGGG